UACGUAGGGCGCGAGCGUUGUCCGGAAUUAUUGGGCGUAAAGAGCUCGUAGGCGGUCUGUCGCGUCUGCUGUGAAAUCUCAAGGCUCAACCUUGAGCUUGCAGUGGGUACGGGCAGACUAGAGUGUGGUAGGGGAGAUUGGAAUUCCUGGUGUAGCGGUGAAAUGCGCAGAUAUCAGGAGGAACACCGAUGGCGAAGGCAGGUCUCUGGGCCGCUACUGACGCUGAGAAGCGAAAGCAUGGGGAGCGAACAGG
rnacentral:rRNA from 1 species